UGCACUUGGGUGCAAGUUCGGUGCAGGUGUACUUAAACGGGUGCAAGUUCGGUGCAGGUGCACUUAAACGGGUGCAAGUUCGGUGCAGGUGCACUUAAGUCCAAGUUUGGUGUACUUUAGUGCAAAUUUGAUGCAGGUGCACUUGGGUGCAAGUUCAGUGCAGGUGUACUUAAAUGGGUGCAAGUUCGGUGCAGGUGCACUUAAACGGGUGCAAGUUCGGUGCAGGUGCACUUAAACGGGUGCAAGUUCGGUGCAGGUGCACUUAAACGGGUGCAAGUUCGGUGCAGGUGCACUUAAGUCCAAGUUCGGUGUACUUUAGUGCAAAUUUGAUGCAGAUGCACUUGGGUGCAAGUUCGGUGCAGGUGUACUU